rnacentral:scRNA from 1 species
AUGGUUUUUUAAAAAUGCCUUAUGCUCUGCUUUUAGCCUCCUAAAUGAAAAGAUAGAACAGGUCUUGUUUGAAAAGUAAAUUCAAGACCUACUUAUCUACCUACAGCA